rnacentral:rRNA from 1 species
UACAGAGGUCUCAAGCGUUUGUUCGGAUUCAUUGGGCGUAAAGGGUGCGUAGGUGGCGGGGUAAGUCAGGUGUGAAAUUUCGGAGCUUAACUCCGAAACUGCAUUUGAUACUGCCUUGCUUGAGGACUGGAGAGGAGACUGGAAUUCACGGUGUAGCAGUGAAAUGCGUAGAGAUCGUGAGGAAGACCAGUGGCGAAGGCGGGUCUCUGGACAGUUCCUGACACUGAGGCACGAAGGCCAGGGGAGCAAAACGGG